rnacentral:lncRNA from 1 species
UGCACGUGGCAAAGGAAUGCCAUGCCAUGUAGAUCCGGCACCCACCAACCGCCCCGAGUAAUGCUUCAGGGAUGUUCAAUACUUUGAGCAGCCGCCUAAGAACACAUCAUGCUCGUUCAGUUGGUUUGGACCCUGUAUAAGCAUUGUCGGUAACGUUUUUCAGGCACAUGACGUAUCGUCGGACUUUUGGAGCAUAUGUAGACGAAAACAGCCCAAUGUAAUGGACAGUAGAAGGAAAGAGCACCAAUAAUGUACAACUCGGAGGUAUUUCAAGCUUUUAUGUGUGGACUAUUAACAAAGCAACGAUCAAGAAACUAGUUGCAUGCAAUGUUUGAAGCAUCCAAAUUGUGUUCGGAUGGUACGGAAAUCGGCCUACUAUAGCUCCGUGCGUGUUUCGCCAGUCGAUUAUGAAAUAGAACAAUGAACAAAGUUAUAUAGUCAAUAAAUAGCUACUUUUAGA